rnacentral:lncRNA from 1 species
ACUGGAAUUGUGAUUUUGGGGUGUUUUUUGCAGGCGGGUGCUGGGGCGGCUGCUGUCGCUGCUGCGCUGCCCGGACACGGAGCUGAGGAGGGGAAUUGUGGGGGCGCUCAGGAACUGCUGCUUCCAGCACGAGAACCACGAGAGGCUGCUGAGCCCUGAGGUGGAGGCGCUGCCGCUGCUGCUGCUGCCCCUGGCCGGCCCCGAGGAGCUGCCCGAGCAUGAGAUGGAGCAGCUGCCCCUGGAUCUGCAGUUUGGGGAUUGUGUUGGGAAUUUUUUGGGGAUUUUUUGGUGAUUUUUUAGGGGAUUUUUGGGAAAUUCUUGGGAAUAUUUUUGAGAAUAUUUUGGGGAAUUUCUGGGAAUAUUUUGUGGAAUAUUUUGGGAUUUUUGGGACCAUCCCCAAUCUAUUUGUUCCCGUUUCAGAGCUGCCCGUGGAUCUGCAGUUUGGGGAUUUUGUUGGGAAUUUUUUUGGGACUUUAUUGGGAAUUUUUUGGGGGAUUUUGUUGGGAAUUUUUUUGGGCAUUUUUGUGGGGAUUUUUUAGGAAUUUUUUGGGAAUAUUUUGUGGGAUUUUUGGGACCAUCCCAAAUUUAUUUUUCCCUUUCCCAUUUCAGAGCUGCCCCUGGAUCUGCAGUUUGGGGAUUGUGUUGGGAAUUUUUUGGGAUUUUGUUGGGAAUUUUUUUGGGAUUUUGGGAGAUUUUUUUGGGGGGGAAAGUUUUUGGGGAAUUUGUGGGGAAUUUUUUUGGGAAUUUUUGGUAAUUUUUUCGGGAUUUUUUUGGCGAGUUUUUUGGGAAUUUCUGAUGAUUUUUUAGAUGUUUUGGGAAA